rnacentral:rRNA from 1 species
CCCUUAGAUGUUCUGGGCCGCACGUGCGCUACACUGAUGCAUUCAACGAGCCUAUCCUUGACCGACAGGUCCGGGUAAUCUUUGAAUCUGCAUCGUGACGGGGAUAGAUUAUUGCAAUUAUUAAUCUUCAACGAGGAAUGCCUAGUAGGCGCAAGUCAUCAGCUUGCGUCGAUUACGUCCCUGCCCUUUGUACACACCGCCCGUCGCUCCUACCGAUUGGGUGUGCUGGUGAAAUGUUCGGAUCGGCCGUUUGUCGCGGUUUCCGCGUCAUGUGGCUGAGAAGUUCAUUAAACCCUCCCACCUAGAGGAAGGAGAAGUCGUAACA